GCUGGCGGCAUGCCUAACACAUGCAAGUCGAACGGCAGCGCGGGUAGCUUGCUACCUGGCGGCGAGUGGCGAACGGGUGAGUAAUGCUUAGGAAUCUGCCCAGUAGUGGGGGACAACCCGAGGAAACUCGGGCUAAUACCGCAUACGCUCUACGGAGGAAAGCGGGGGAUCUUCGGACCUCGCGCUAUUGGAUGAGCCUAAGUCGGAUUAUCUUGUUGGUGGGGUAAAGGCCUACCAAGGCGACGAUCCGUAGCUGGUCUGAGAGGACGAUCAGCCACACUGGGACUGAGACACGGCCCAGACUCCUACGGGAGGCAGCAGUGGGGAAUAUUGGACAAUGGGCGCAAGCCUGAUCCAGCAAUGCCGCGUGUGUGAAGAAGGCCUGCGGGUUGUAAAGCACUUUCAGCAGGGAAGAAAAGCCUGGGGUUAAUACCCCCGAGUCUUGACGUUACCCGCAGAAGAAGCACCGGCCUAACUCCGUGCCA
rnacentral:rRNA from 1 species